GACGAACGCUGGCGGCGUGCUUAACACAUGCAAGUCGAACGGAAAGGCCCUGCUUUUGUGGGGUGCUCGAGUGGCGAACGGGUGAGUAACACGUGAGUAACCUGCCCUUGACUUUGGGAUAACUUCAGGAAACUGGGGCUAAUACCGGAUAGGAGCUCCUGCUGCAUGGUGGGGGUUGGAAAGUUUCGGCGGUUGGGGAUGGACUCGCGGCUUAUCAGCUUGUUGGUGGGGUAGUGGCUUACCAAGGCUUUGACGGGUAGCCGGCCUGGGAGGGUGACCGGCCACAUGGGGACUGAGAUACGGCCCAGACUCCUACGGGGGGCAGCAGGGGGGAGUAUUGCACAAUGGGCGGAAGCCUGAUGCAGCAACGCCGCGUGCGGGAUGACGGCCUUCGGGUUGUAAACCGCUUUCGCCUGUGACGAAGCGUGAGUGACGGUAAUGGGUAAAGAAGCACCGGCUAACUACGUG
rnacentral:rRNA from 1 species